AGAAUUGCUAGCUGCACUUCCUUUGAGGAUGUAAUCUGUGGCUGAUGACAGCCGGUGUCGGCUUUCUAAUAUCGCAGCUGAUCUUUCUGGAAACUCAAUUGGGCUCUUAGCACUCCCUUAUUGAGCUUGAGACCUGAAUUGUUUCUAAAAAGAAUAUGAACAUUGUAAUAAGGUUGGAUUAAUUGCAUAUAAAGGUGUAUAUUUUGCAAGAAAUUGUGUUGUGUUUCAGAUUUUGGUGAAUAGAAACAACAGGCACCAGUGCAGACAUGGUCUUGCACAAUGUAGAGAAUGGGACAGCUGCCAAUAGGGGGCAAGUUCACUAAGUGAACAGAACACUAUGUCCUUGUCAAUAACAGCAUGCUGUUUAUGAGUAACAUGUCCAGGAUACCUUAAGCUUCUGUCAUUUAAAAAAAAAAGCUUUAUGCUGGUAAUUUCGCAUUUCAGAAAUAUGCAUGUGGUGGCACAUUGACAUGUAACGUGGUUAUGCCUUUUGCUGUUGGGUUUCAUGAGUCUGUGCUUCACAUUGCCACAGUUGUGGUGCUGAUUUACGACAAAUUUAGUGUGAUAUUAAAUAUGUCUCUCAAAUCUUAGAGUUUAUUAUGUGGAACAGUUAACAUAAAAAGAUGUAAUCUUGAGUCUGGACGCUUUCUAGUGAUUGCACAUAAGUGCUUGGGAAAUGUUCCGAAGGUUAUUCUUUGAGGGCCUGCAGUUCUGAAUGGCUGCUUCAUCCACUGAUUAGGUUAUGCAUUGAUGAUUAGUAGUAUGUCUCCUUAUAGGCUAUUAUACGGAACCAUCGCUAUGCUGCCAUCUUCUGCAGCUAAUGCUGGCGUUUUCAAAUGGUAACAACGUAUACAUGGUGUUACGGUCAUUUCGUACAUGUGAAAAUGAUCGUACAAACGUGUUUGGUGUUGCACAACCACGUUAAUUUGACGCUACCGAGCACACAAUUAAACUGCCUAUGAAGCGAUACAGGGUGUUUUUUUUUAGCUGCAUCAUUUUUUUUUAAUUGCCUGUGGCAGAUAGCACAAUUAUAACCAUUGAGCUAGAUUACUUGACGAGGUGGCCAUUAGUUCAAAGAGAAGACAAAAUGCCCAAUUGAAUAAUUUAUAUAAUUAAGCCAUUUAACAUUUAACCUAAUUACAUUAGAGCACAUAUUUCAAUCUAUAAUUUGUAGAUGGUGAGGAUGCAAGGUAUACAGACUUCGAACUAAUUCUGAAGACUAUGCCAGUUUCGAAGUAUUAAUUUUCAAAGUGUCCAAUGAAAUUAAUUGGCGUUCCAGUUACUUUUGUGCUUCAGUGCAUAAAAACAGUUUUCUUAAAAAGUAAGUGGACCAACAAUGCAUUCUUACAGAAAGUUUGAUGGUGCAUAUGUCGAAGCCAGUGCCAUCUUUAGAAUUCGUUCCAAGUCGCUAUGCUUUGCACACUCACUAGCUGCAAUUUGUAGAUUGAACUUUGCAUACUCACUAGCUGCAAUUUGUAGAUUGAAAUAUGUGCCGUAAAGUAAAUCAGAAAGCUAGUUAGUGUAAUUAUGUUACUUAUUCAAUUAAGCAUUCUGAUUUCUCAUAGAAGUAGUGACUGCCUCAUUGAGUAAUUUAGAUUAAGGGUUAGAAUGUGCUAUCUGCUACAAGUAAUCUUCAAAAUGCAGCUAAAAAAAAAAACACCCUAUAGAAUGCUUUAUACUCUUUUUCAUACUUUGCAGGCAAUGCUGUAGAGGCGAAGGAAGUCGUGAGGUCACAGCAGUAUCGCUCCAUGCGUUUCGCAGCGCAUUUGUUCUUGAUCUGCGAGACUUGCUAUGGAAUACCUACUCUGUAUACAACUUGCGGCUGUAAGAAUAUGUAAAAUCAGGUAUUUGUGCGCCUUUAUGCUCGCCGUUUGUGACAUACUACAUUUUGGUCACGAGUGGAGGUGGUGCGCUGCGGUCGCUGGUCACAGAAAUGUGUCGCUCCGCUCAUUAAUGGUAGAUAGGUUCAAAUCUGUGACGGCCUUCCAUGUAAUAAUUACAUCGUAUUUUGCAACACAAUGUAUGAGACUUAAUGUCACUGAAACUUAAAUGACGACUAUUUAUAUCGCUAUAUCUCUAUGAAUGCAAGCAGUGAGAGAAGUCUCUCUAGCCUUCCUAGCAUUGCCUAAUGUGUAUGAAACGGAGUGGGGUGGUGGAAUCCGCCAUCGUGCGCAAUGUUGUGCGCCUUUUAUUCUAUUCUUCCUUCUUACCUGCCUUAUUAAUUGCACGAAACCAUAGUUAGGCUUCUACACAGCGUUGUUACUUUCAUUGCAAACGGCAGUCCUUUAUUCCAAAAACCUGCAGUGCUGUCAGCAUGUUAUUAAAGUGCUUCGUCUAUUGCGAAUCUGCAUCUGUAUGAAUGAGCAAAGUUAUCCCACAGAACAGAAUAAUUACAGCAAAGAGAGAUGAAAAGCUGAAUGCAACUCCUUCAUUAAACUGUACUACUUGCUGCUUGCUAAUAAUUGGAACUCUGCACCUGACUGGCAACCUUCAACAGUACAUAUUCAGAAGCCUUCAUAAAUGGUGUUUGGAAACAAAGAGCAAUUUAAAGCACCAGUGUGACUUCUGAGAAGUUGGUGAUUUCGGAGCUGGUUCGCUGCGUGCCAGCAAAAUACUGCAGCAGAAUAGCAGCGUUAGGGAAAAGCUGGUGUGCACAGUUGGCUUUAAUAGUUUACAGACCACAGGAUCUGAGAAAAUGUUCAAUUUCUGAGCAGUUUGUGACUGUGGCCAGUAAAACUGCACAACAAUAUGUUGCUCGCAUAUACCAGCACUGGCUAAAAAUCAGACUAAUGGGUUGCAUUCCCCAGGCUGGGAUCAACAUUCGGCUUUUUCUAAGAUCCCAUGGUCCGUGAACUAGUGUGUACGCCGACUGUACAUACCUGUGCAUUGUGUAUUACUGUCAGCAUAAGUUCAAAUGCCAACAAAUUGAAAGCAACUGGAAGUCCCUGUCAUGUUUCUAUUAUUGCAUUCGCAUGUAGCAGUGGCCUAAUUCGGGCUCCAAAAUGCGCAUUUUGGAACUAUGGCAUGCUGUGGAGCAAGUGCAUGUUGCAUUCCCAUGUAAAUACAUGCGGUAUAUUUCUGAUCUGUGUCUCCCUUUUUGCGUUUCCAUUUACGCUGAUGGUACAAAUAACUCUGCUGGCAGGAACUGCAGUUGACUUGCGAUAAUUCUAACACUGAUAGUUACACCUCAAAUUUCAGUUGGCCUGCUAUGUUUUCGAUGCACUUUGGAGUUGCUUAAUAAUGAAGUUUUGGUUAAUUCAAGACUGUUGCCUCCGCCGCUGGGAUGCAGCCAAAACAGCUUAUGAUGUGAUGUCCAUAAGGCGCGAAUAAGCCAAAUGUUAGAGUUGCAGUGUAAUGAGAUGCGAAACAAUACAAAAUAAGAACAGGAUAAAAACGAGCGUCGUGUUCUUAUUUCAUGUUGUUUUCCAUCCUAUAGCACACCACAAGUAUGAACUGACUAGGCCAGUAGUGACAUGUAACAUAUGCACCAACACAAUGCCACUGACAUGGUCACACGUGAUUACUUUUUAUACCCUAGAUGUGUGUCCACAAUUACUGUUUCUCUAACAUGGAAACCAGUAGUGACAAUUUGUUCAACCUUGUGUUUUAAUUGUUUGGUGUUACAAGGAUGCAAUACUACAGGCAAAAAGAGGCACAAAAUAUUUUCUGAAUACAUCUGUUCUUAUAGCUCUCUUGGACAAUGCUUCAUCAAUU